UACAGAGGGUGCGAGCGUUGUCCGGAAUCACUGGGCGUAAAGGGCGCGUAGGCGGCUGGGUAAGCGUGUGGUGAAAGCCCGGGGCUCAACCCCGGGUCGGCCAUGCGAACUGUCCAGCUGGAGCACGGUAGAGGCACAUGGAAUUCCGGGUGUAGCGGUGGAAUGCGUAGAGAUCCGGAAGAACACCGGUGGCGAAGGCGGUGUGCUGGGCCGUGGCUGACGCUGAGGCGCGACAGCGUGGGGAGCAAACAGG
rnacentral:rRNA from 1 species